rnacentral:rRNA from 2 species
AGACCCGAAACCCGGUGAUCUAGCCAUGGGCAGGUUGAAGGUUGGGUAACACUAACUGGAGGACCGAACCGACUAAUGUUGAAAAAUUAGCGGAUGACCUGUGGCUGGGGGUGAAAGGCCAAUCAAACCGGGAGAUAGCUGGUUCUCCCCGAAAGCUAUUUAGGUAGCGCCUCGUGAAUUCAUCUCCGGGGGUAGAGCACUGUUUCGGCUAGGGGGCCAUCCCGGCUUACCAACCCGAUGCAAACUGCGAAUACCGGAGAAUGUUAUCACGGGAGACACACGGCGGGUGCUAACGUCCGUCGUGAAGAGGGAAACAACCCAGACCGCCAGCUAAGGUCCCAAAGUCAUGGUUAAGUGGGAAACGAUGUGGGAAGGCCCAGACAGCCAGGAUGUUGGCUUAGAAGCAGCCAUCAUUUAAAGAAAGCGUAAUAGCUCACUGGUCGAGUCGGCCUGCGCGGAAGAUGUAACGGGGCUAAACCAUGCACCGAAGCUGCGGCAGCGACACUGUGUGUUGUUGGGUAGGGGAGCGUUCUGUAAGCCUGUGAAGGUGUGUCGUGAGGCAUGCUGGAGGUAUCAGAAGUGCGAAUGCUGACAUAAGUAACGAUAAAGCGGGUGAAAAGCCCGCUCGCCGGAAGACCAAGGGUUCCUGUCCAACGUUAAUCGGGGCAGGGUGAGUCGACCCCUAAGGCGAGGCCGAAAGGCGUAGUCGAUGGGAAACGGGUUAAUAUUCCCGUACUUGGUGUUACUGCGAAGGGGGGACGGAGAAGGCUAUGUUGGCCGGGCGACGGUUGUCCCGGUUUAAGCGUGUAGGUGUGUGUUCCAGGUAAAUCCGGUUCACUUUAACACUGAGGCGUGACGACGAGGCACUACGGUGCUGAAGCAACAAAUGCCCUGCUUCCAGGAAAAGCCUCUAAGCAUCAGGUAACAUCAAAUCGUACCCCAAACCGACACAGGUGGUCAGGUAGAGAAUACCAAGGCGCUUGAGAGAACUCGGGUGAAGGAACUAGGCAAAAUGGUGCCGUAACUUCGGGAGAAGGCACGCUGACACGUAGGUGAAGUGAUUUACUCAUGGAGCUGAAGUCAGUCGAAGAUACCAGCUGGCUGCAACUGUUUAUUAAAAACACAGCACUGUGCAAACACGAAAGUGGACGUAUACGGUGUGACGCCUGCCCGGUGCCGGAAGGUUAAUUGAUGGGGUCAGCGCAAGCGAAGCUCCUGAUCGAAGCCCCGGUAAACGGCGGCCGUAACUAUAACGGUCCUAAGGUAGCGAAAUUCCUUGUCGGGUAAGUUCCGACCUGCACGAAUGGCGUAAUGAUGGCCAGGCUGUCUCCACCCGAGACUCAGUGAAAUUGAACUCGCUGUGAAGAUGCAGUGUACCCGCGGCAAGACGGAAAGACCCCGUGAACCUUUACUAUAGCUUGACACUGAACAUUGAGCCUUGAUGUGUAGGAUAGGUGGGAGGCUUUGAAGUGUGGACGCCAGUCUGCAUGGAGCCGACCUUGAAAUACCACCCUUUAAUGUUUGAUGUUCUAACGUGGACCCGUUACCCGGGUUGCGGACAGUGUCUGGUGGGUAGUUUGACUGGGGCGGUCUCCUCCUAAAGAGUAACGGAGGAGCACGAAGGUUGGCUAAUCCUGGUCGG